rnacentral:rRNA from 1 species
UACGUAGGGGGCUAGCGUUGUCCGGAAUCAUUGGGCGUAAAGCGCGUGUAGGCGGUUCGAUAAGUCUGCUGUGAAAGUCCAGGGCUCAACCCUGGGAUGCCGGUGGAUACUGUCGGGCUAGAGUACGGAAGAGGCGAGUGGAAUUCCCGGUGUAGCGGUGAAAUGCGCAGAUAUCGGGAGGAACACCAAUGGCGAAGGCAGCUCGCUGGGACGGUACUGACGCUGAGAAGCGAAAGCAUGGGGAGCGAACAGG